AUGCUCGUGACAGUGAUAUCUGUACUCAUGGUGAUGCUGACAGGUCACCUGAUAUAUGGGCUCCCCAUGGACGGAAAAAAGAGAAAUUCUAGAGCCGCUCCAGAAGAGCUGUGUGAUGCAGGAUUUUUCAAUUCAGGGUCUGGUUGUGUUAAGUGCGACUCCGGUUUCUUCACCAGCCAGAAAAACAGAGAAACCAGUUGCCACCGCUGCUUCCAGAACUGCAGACCUGAUUUAUACAUGAUGGUGGUGGAAGAGUGUACGCUAACAUCAGAUGUGAAGUGUCGCUGUCGGGAGGGUUACACUUGUACCAAGAUCGAUCCUUACAAUGGCUACUGUAGGGAGUGUAAACCUGUCCCCACCCCAAUCCCGUCCUCCACCCAUGCUGACGUCCCUUCAUCCACUACAUCCACCACGUCAUCAACAGAGAGAGCUGAGAUCGGGCUGGGUGAGCGUAGUGUUGGGGUGUGGCUUUCAUGUGGAUUAAUUUCUGUAAUAUUAUCCCUCAUCAUCCUUAUGCUGUUCCUCCGGCUAUGCAGAAAGAAAGAGAAGGAAUGUUUCAAGCGUUUUGUCAGGAAGUGCUCGUUGGGUAAUUUAGAGAUGGACAGUGAGAGUACAUCUCCUACCAGCCAAACAGAUGAGCAGCCCCAUGCCCAGGAGAUGAUGUCACAUGGCAGCACACCCACCAAUCACAACAACGACUGCUCGUUUCAUCAGCCAAUCAGCUCAGAGCAGGCUGUUCCUCCAGCCGGCAAUUUAGGCCCUCUUCACAUCUACGGCCCCCAGACAGUUUUCGUCAGCCUGCUCAAUCAAUUUGGAUGGGAUGGCGGCGAGAAAAAAGCACAUGAACUCCGAGAAGAAUCACUAAACAACAUCAACGUGUCCUGCCCUCAGUCUCCCCCCGUCCAUCUGUCUGAGGAGGAAAGGAGCAGAGAGAACGAUUUUAUCUUCUUCCCAUCUCAGGAGCAAGGGAAAGAGUGCCACAUGUCUAAAGAAGAGGCGCUGUGAGGGCUGAUGGAUUAUUGGUGUCCGUUCUUCCUCCGUGCUGUUCAGCUGCUGUGUGGUUUGUUUUAACUGUUAUUUCGUGAGUACCCAGUAUUAAAACUCUAACCGUGGCAGGGGAUUUUUGUCUAGAGAGCAACAGGCUGCGUUAGGGGAAGACCUGGAUAUGUGACUAACAGUAUGGACUGCAUACAUGUGCGUAUGAGCAUGACAGUUGAUGUCAGCUUUGCAGUAUUAUCCAUAACCUUCUGAUACUGCAGUGGGAUGCUGAUGUUGACUGCAUGAAGAGUCGAUACUAGCUUAUGAUGGUUAAACGGACUCAGGGACAAUGCUUGAAAGUGUUUGAAAGCAAGGAGCAGCUCUAAAACAUUCACACAUGUUGAGAUAUUUAUUUUAUGUAAAGUUUAUUCAAGUCACAAAACAUUUGUAUUUAUUUGUAACUCUUAUUAAUCGCAGUUAAUCAUGCAGGUUAUCAGUGUUCGAUCGUAUCAUAUCCUUGGAUAAUGUUGUCAGUGUUCUUCCUCAUUUCUUUGGUGGCAUGAUGGAUUGUACCUUCAAAAAGCCCUGACAUUUAGAUGGUGGUCUGGAAAUGUCAACAUCAUUUCUUCAUUCAGAAGUGUAUAAGCACAUGCGGCAGCAAUCGUUUGAUCAUGUAUUAUGUUUUAUAUUCACUGUAAUAUACAUUUUUUUUAUGCUUGAUAUUAAUUGUAAAGUGCAAUAAAAUCAAUAAAAGUUUAUUUUUUUUAUAUGUUUCCCUGAGUACUUCACUGCAAGAUAGCAAAUACAAAUCCAACUACAAUUUUCUAUUUUAGCAACCAGGUAGCUGACAAAAAAAAAUACUUCUUAUAAGUGACAUGCUAUAUAUCUUAGAUUUGGAAACACUGUGUUCAUUCUGUGAUCAUAUUAUACAUGCAGCUUCUUCAUAAUAUUUUUUGAGGCAUAUUUUUAGUCAUUAAAAAAAAUAGUGAAAAACUUCAAACUUUACAUUCAUAUACAUUUUAACAUAAAAUCUUGAUUUGAAAAAGUCCAUGGGCUUCUUGUGCAAAAACCACCCAAUUAUAAAUACAAACAAGUGUGCAGAGAAUAAAACCUUCAUUUGUUGAAAAAGAUUAGCUCUGUGUUCAGUGUCUCCUUGUGUGCGGUGGUAACUCAAAUCUCUCUCUAUCUCAGCAUUUCUCACGAAGGACAGUCAUUCUCACAGAACCUUCAUAUGGGCCACCUGAUGAGUGCACAUUUUCUCUUGUGUAAAUGGCAGCAGCAGGUUUGUAUUAGAGUAAAUACUCAAUCCAUAGACGAAUCAGCGGUCUUCUUCCUGCUCUUUUCUCAGACAUCCUCCAGUUUUUCAGUCUUUCCACAAACCUCCUGCACUGGCAUUGGUACCUCCUCUUCCUCUGUGCACUGACUGGAACCAAGGCUGCUCUUGUCGGAGGAGCAGAGACCUGAUGACCCAGUACAAUACACAUUAUUAGACACGUAUUCCUGUUAUGCAGUACAAUUUCAUUCCAUGUCUUAAUAUAUUGGGGGAAAUAUUAAACUCACAAUUUUCAAAUAUGAGAAUCACAUUAAUUAGUUUCCUUAUCAUACUGUUAUAAUUAGGUGAUCAUAGAGGUGAAUCGAAAAUAAUAAUUUCAUAAAAAAAUGUAAGUCUAUUAACUAGGUGCUCUGUACUUCGAACGUGUCUAGCUUUAUUAUUGUUUUGAUCACUUAAAACAGUUUUAAUUGAUGACAUGUAUAGGUUUUCCUGUUAUUGUCACUGCUUUCCAAUCAUUAUUAUAUU
ensembl:lncRNA